rnacentral:rRNA from 1 species
UGGGGAAUAUUGCACAAUGGGCGCAAGCCUGAUGCAGCCAUGCCGCGUGUGUGAAGAAGGCCUUCGGGUUGUAAAGCACUUUCAGCGGGGAGGAAGGCGAUAAGGUUAAUAACCUUGUCGAUUGACGUUACCCGCAGAAGAAGCACCGGCUAACUCCGUGCCAGCAGCCGCGGUAAUACGGAGGGUGCAAGCGUUAAUCGGAAUUACUGGGCGUAAAGCGCACGCAGGCGGUCUGUCAAGUCGGAUGUGAAAUCCCCGGGCUCAACCUGGGAACUGCAUUCGAAACUGGCAGGCUAGAGUCUUGUAGAGGGGGGUAGAAUUCCAGGUGUAGCGGUGAAAAGCGUAGAGAUCUGGAGGAAUACCGGUGGCGAAGGCGGCCCCCUGGACGAAGACUGACGCUCAGGUGCGAAAGCGUGGGGAGCAAACAGG